UUGGUUUCUAUCAAAAAAACUACAUUUGGGCACUUUGUCUUCACCAAAAAGUGAAGCUCUCUAACUGUUCGAGGGUUUACAAGCCCUCUACAGUUCCAGCUAAGGCACUUCAUUGAUGCUAGUGGGGAAGCUCAACAACCUCCACCAUCCAGUCUUGAUUUAAACUCGUUUCAAGAUAUGGCAUCCCUUCCACUUGGCCUUCUCUUGCUCUUCUUUUCCAUCCCACUUUCUUUAUUGAAAUAACAGCUGUAUUUAUGGAUUCCACAUUGGGCUGGUCAGAGUUAGUAGCUGAUUUGGUACUUUUGUACUGAUUGUCUUGAUCCUCCAAAGAAAGGUUUGGUUAAGACUAAAUUAGAUGGUUGAGGAAUGUCUGUACCUUAUUCAUCCCCUAGAGAUGAGAUUGUAUCUUGGUAGACUCUUAGUUCCCUGAUAUCCCCUUUUCAAUUCGAUUAAACGGGUAAAAUGACCGAUUCGAUUAAUCAGGUAAUAUGGUUGAGCCGGAAUCGUGAAUUCGGGUCGGGUCGGGUCGGAAAAAAAAAGCACAUUAACUAUUAUAGGCCGACGUUUGGA